GCUUUUUUCGGAAUGUGGAGAUUUAACAGGGCCAUAAAUUCAUGCCUUGAUCAUAUUCUUGAUCUGGAUGGAAGUCGGAUACAGAGGGAGUUAGCAAAUAUUUUUGUGAACAAACAUCAGGAUGAUCCCUGGACAAUGAAACGUAUGUAUAGACAUUUCUAUUCAGAGAAUGUGUUUGACGACUCAAACUCAGAUAAGCCGAUAUUAAGGCGGCGU
rnacentral:misc_RNA from 1 species